rnacentral:rRNA from 1 species
UACGGAGGAUCCGAGCGUUAUCCGGAUUUAUUGGGUUUAAAGGGUGCGCAGGUUGUUUGAUAAGUCAGUGGUGAAAGUCUGUCGCUUAACGGUAGGAUUGCCAUUGAUACUGUUGGACUUGAAUAUGGAUGAGGUAGGCGGAAUGUGUAGUGUAGCGGUGAAAUGCAUAGAUAUUACACAGAACACCGAUUGCGAAGGAAGCUUACUAAUCCAUCAUUGACGCUGAGGCACGAAAGCGUGGGGAUCAAACAGGAUUA